CUUGUUGUAAGUUCUUCGUAUCUGUCAUUUUAGGGAAAGAUAAACACGAAUCUGAACCUAUUUCUCUUUUCUCUCUUGGAACAUCUUGUGAAAUCUAAGGAAAUGGAGGGAUGUAUGUUUCCUGGUAAAAAUCUGAGGAAUCUGGAGAUUUUCUUCUUAUAUUGCUAGAGGUUCUCUUCUUCAAUGUUUGAGGUUAUAGCUGAAGAAACUACAAGUUUGAGCUUUUGAGGAGGACACCAUUUCAGGGCAAGCUUGUGGAGUUCUACAGGAAUUUUAAUCUUAUGUCUUUUGUAGGUGGAGAAGAUAACAAAGGGGAUGAUGAAAGCAGUGAUGAUCAGACCUUACUCUAUAUGAUUGAUUGAAAGUUGUAUAAACCUAUUGCUUUAGCUCGACUCUUUUGCUUCUUGACAUUUGAAACUUUUGAUAAGCUGCAAUAUUUAGUUUUAAUUUCCAUUAGUAUGCAAUUUUUGCAAUAUUCUAUUGCAACAAA